GAUGAACGCUGGCGGCGUGCCUAAUACAUGCAAGUCGAGCGAACAGACGAGGGGCUUGCUCCUCUGACGUUAGCGGCGGACGGGUGAGUAACACGUGGAUAACCUACCUAUAAGACUGGGAUAACUUCGGGAAACCGGAGCUAAUACCGGAUAAUAUAUUGAACCGCAUGGUUCAAUAGUGAAAGACGGUUUUGCUGUCACUUAUAGAUGGAUCCGCGCCGCAUUAGCUAGUUGGUAAGGUAACGGCUUACCAAGGCAACGAUGCGUAGCCGACCUGAGAGGGUGAUCGGCCACACUGGAACUGGGACACGGUCCAGACUCCUACGGGAGGCAGCAGUAGGGAAUCUUCCGCAAUGGGCGAAAGCCUGACGGAGCAACGCCGCGUGAGUGAUGAAGGUCUUCGGAUCGUAAAACUCUGUUAUUAGGGAAGAACAAAUGUGUAAGUAACUAUGCACGUCUUGACGGUACCUAAUCAGAAAGCCACGGCUAACUACGUG
rnacentral:rRNA from 1 species